GAUGAACGCUGGCGGCGUGCCUAAUACAUGCAAGUCGAGCGAACGGACGAGAAGCUUGCUUCUCUGAUGUUAGCGGCGGACGGGUGAGUCACACGUGGAUAACCUACCUAUAAGACUGGGAUAACUUCGGGAAACCGGAGCUAAUACCGGAUAAUCUUUUGAACCGCAUUGUUCAAAAGUGAAAUACGGUCUUGCUGGCACGUAUAGAUGGAUCCGCGCUGCAUUAGCUAGUUGGUAAGGUAACGGCUUACCAAGGCAACGAUGCAUAGCCGACCUGAGAGGGUGAUCGGCCACACUGGAACUGAGACACGGUCCAGAGUCCUAAGGGAGGCAGCAGUAGGGAACCGGCCGCAAUGGGCGAAAGCCUGACGGAGCAACGCCGCGUGAGUGAUGAAGGUCUUCGGAUCGUAAAACUCUGUUAUUAGGGAAGAACAUAUGUGUAAGUAACUGUGCACAUCUUGACGGUACCUAAUCAGAAAGCCACGGCUAACUACGUG
rnacentral:rRNA from 1 species